GACGAACGCUGGCGGCGUGCUUAACACAUGCAAGUCGAACGGAAAGGCCCUGCUUUUGUGGGGUGCUCGAGUGGCGAACGGGUGAGUAACACGUGAGUAACCUGCCCUUGACUGUGGGAUAACUUCAGGAAACUGGGGCUAAUACCCGAUAGGAGCUCCUGCUGCAUGGUGGGGGUUGGAAAGUUUCGGCUGUUGGGGAUGGACUCGCGGCUUAUCAGCUUGUUGGUGAGGUAGUGGCUUACCAAGGCUUUGACGGGUAGCCGGCCUGAGAGGGUGACCGGCCACAAUGGGACUGAGAUACGGCCCAGAAUCCUACGGGAGGCAGCGGUGGGGAAUAUUGCACAAUGGGCGGAAGCCUGAUGCGGCAGCGCCGCGUGCGGGAUGACGGCCUUCGAGUUGUAAACCGCUUUCGCAUGUGACGAAGCGUGAGUGACGGUAAUGGGUAAAGAAGCACCGGCUAACUACGUG
rnacentral:rRNA from 1 species